rnacentral:lncRNA from 1 species
GGUCACGAGAUCGGUUUUCAGCCAGACUGACACUUCGAAACUAAGCAUUUCACGUCCAUUCGCUCCGUUCAACUGAAUACCAAACAAUAAUUGGGGAGUUAACUCUGCGAUGGACUGGCGUGCCAUCCUGACGGCAGUCUUUUACUCUCACUCGCCUAGACGACUCGGAAAACCUGGAUAAGUUCUGGCAUUAGAAGCCUGUAAAGUUGAGGCAUCUACGUGCAUAUCGCUAGCCACUACACAUUCUUUAUUUUCUCUCCUUGUUUCUUACUGAGUUCCUUUCUAUGGAAGAGCGUAGGCUCGAAACGUUAAAGACCUCUUCACUUCCCGAUCGUUAUACUAAAACAUGUUUGUUGUCUACACCACCUGUCUUCGUCUCUUGAUUUGUUUAUUGUUUUUUUUGUUUUUGAUUUUUUUGUGAAUUCUCCCUAUAUAAACAAGCGGUGCGGUAAAAGAGGCAGGCUUUAAAAAUACGUGUCGAUUCGUUCAACUAAAUAGAUUAAGGCAGUGCCCCAGUAUGGCCACAUUCUAAUGGCCAAAAACAGAUAAAAGUUAAGGGAAGAGAUGAAACACACACACACACACACACACACAUACAUACAUACAUACAUACAUACAUACAUACAUACAUACAUACAUACAUACAUACAUACAUACAUACAUACAUACAUACAUACAUACAUACAAACAAUCAUACAGCAGAGGAUUCAAAUUUGCGGCCGUCGUGUUGCACUGCCUGAAGGUGCCCUUCCACCAUUUCUUUGAUCCCACACUAAUACCAAUUUUUGUCCUUCGAGAUGAAGAAGUCUUUCACUGAAGAUUCCACCUUCUCUUGGUUGAUGAAGCGCAGUGGAAGCUAGUCCUCACUUAGCCGCUGCUUAAGCACGUUAGAAAAGCGGGAAAAUGUCUCCCUCGGAUUAUGACUUGCUCUGAUCUAAGGCUCGCUUCCUGCGCACAGUAUCCUAUGAAUACUUAUAUUUACGCAUUUAUUACUACGUCUGAGCAUGAAAAUAUUUAUUGCUGAAGUUAAAUCUUAAAUUAUAACGCAGGGACUGAACGAAAAUACAGUCAUCUUGGCGCAAGCAUGGCAUGGCGGUUAAGACGUUAACUCAGCAUACACAUUGCCUCAAGUUCAGUCUCAUUACGCGGCACCUAGGACAAGUGUCUUUUACUAAAAGCUCGUUAUAUGUAUGCACUUGCGUAUGUAUGUAUUUAUGUAUGUAUGUAUGUAUGUAUGUAUGUAUGUAUGUAUGUAUGUAUGUAUGUAUUGUAAGUAUAUAUGUACGAGAGGUGUAUGAAAAGUUUUGAGCCUUCAAGGCCCUUGAGCCUUGAAGUCGUGUACCUUCAUCAGAAGUCUUGUACCAUGUUUUUGAGGCUCAAGAUUUUUCAUACACCAUUAAGACACGGGGACAUAUACACACCAGCUCCGGUUGACAAGCGGUGGUAGAGGGCAAACACAUACAUAGCUACACACACAUACACAUACACAAAUGUAUGUAUGUGUGUGUGAGUGUAUAUAUAUAUAUAUAUAUAUAUAUAUAUAUAGGUAAACAGUAAAAAUAAUUACAGACAUGGACAAGAACAUGAAACACCACAGAGACGACACAAGAACCACAGGACGGGACAUUCGAAGCCCUCAAUCAUCAGUCAAGAACCAGAUCAUCUUAGCAAUUUCGGCUGAUUAAUCUUGAGAUUGCUCCGAUUAUAUAUAUAUAUAUAUGUAUAUAUAUAUGCAUAUACAUAUAUCUAGGAAAAAGUACAACAAAGCGAGUAUCUCAAGUCAUUUAGGAUAUUUAUUGGAUGUUUUACAUCUGUUUUGAGGAUAUCUCAAGUGACAGACUAGCAUCUCCAUACACUGGGUAUUCCGUCAUCCGAGACAGGAUGAGUGGCGAAAUAGCCAGUGUAUAGAGAUGCUAGCCUGUCGCUUGAGAUAUUUCAAAAACAGAUGUAAGACAUCCAAUAACUAUUCUAAAUGAUUUGAGAUACUCGUCCUACCUUGGUUUUGUUGUCCUUUUUCCUCUAAUAUACACCUGCUAACUCGAAUACCUACUACGGAUACCUGGCUCCAGCCUCAGCUGUGAACUUGGAACACAACGGAUGACCAGUUAUAGCACUUACACAGCGUGCCUUUCCGUUUAGAUCACCGGUGAUAUAAAACCCCUCAUAUUCCUUAUAUAUACACACACACAUCUGUAUACAUAGAUGCUUAUAUCUAUCAUGAGUAGGUGGAUUUCUGUGUUUGUUUCUCCUACAUCCUUUUAUUAAUCGAUGUUGGUUGCUUUACGUCACCGUACUUAACGACAGACUAAAUACCAGACAAAACAAAGAUAGUAGGGUCGAUUUGUUCGAAUAACCAUACUUAGAGGGAGGUGCUCCAGCGUGGCUCCCAUCCUAUGACACAGACAGAUAAUAGAGUACAUAAGAGAACAUCCCUAAUACUACUCAUAUGUAUCUAUGCAUGCAUGUAUGCAUGUAUGUAUGUAUGUAUGUAUGUAUGUAU